GUAUCACAUCAAGUAUAAACGAUGCGUACCUGCAUGUGCCAUUAGGGUCCUGUCAAAGCAGAGGUUUUCUGUGGGCCAUUCAGCUUUCUGCGUGAGGUUUUGCCCUUGUUUGUCUCCCACAUUUGGGAUAAGUGCACAGCUGUGGGUGUGUUCAGUUCGCUUCAGCACAGAAGGGAUCCUACCAUCUUGACCUCUGUUUUUAUCAAGCCGUUCUCCGCUUGCAUUUUCCAUAGAUGAGCUACGUAGCUGUGAAUAUCUGGCCUCUGGCUUUUGGAUGAGUUAAAAUUGGUUUCCUUACAAAGGCUUUUAUCAUUCAAAGAUUUUUGAAAGUUUGUAACUGAGGAAAACUUUCCCAAUCCCCCCCAAAACAGAGGUAGAAUAUAAUAACCCCUGCUACUAUCUACGUGGGAAAUUUGAGUUGUGUUGAGAACAGGUUUUAUUUAAUAGAUUCUGUCCUCAUCUUUUCUUUGCUAGAUCAUUCUCAAUGUUGUGUUUAAACUUGUGUGCUCUAUUUAAAGAUCAAUUGAUUGACCUAUUUGGUCAUUUUAACAGUGAUUUCAUUAUUUAGUAGACCUGAAUCCAGUCACAAAUUGUAAAAGCUGUGGUAACUGCUUUGUGCUGGAUGUGUCCUUGCCUGUAGAGAUCAGUAACCUAGAGAUUUAAACCAGACACGAGCAGAAUGGUACCUACUCAUUCUUUGGUUUGUUGAAUAGUUUUGAGUUUUCUCUCUAUUACUCUGAUAUGGUUUAUGGAAUUAUUCUAAAAUGAAAAGCAUAUGUUCCUUCUCUCACUCUUGUCAAAGAAUUUUAGCAUCAAUCCAACACAAUCUUUUGAAGGUCUACGCUUUUAGCUGGUGUAGACAGGGUUAUAAUUAUUUAGCAGGUUACCUCUGCAAACACAGCUGGUUUCCAGUUAUUCUCAUGUACCCUAGUAAUCGUCUUAGGAUUUUCUGAUCGCACCAAGACAGUUGUCUUUUACUCUUCAUCAUCUUCAACCUAACAGCCGAAGUAACAUUCGAAUGCUGUUCAUCGGUAUGAAGGUAAUAAGGAGGUUUCUAUAAUGGUGUUAUUUAAGUAGUCUAGUUUAGAUACAAAUCUGUUAGUGAAUGACCCUGAUUUUAAUCAUAUUUUGGCAUAGACGGCAGAACAACCAUUGCUGAGUAGAUGGUUGAUGGAAAUACAUGAAGACAAAAAUCAUUUUAAUUUGCUCUGUGUUAUUUAGAUCUAGGAAAGUAGACAACCGUAUAAAUUAAUCAUUUCUCAACUUGACAAAGUUAUUUUUAUUAGGCAGUGAGUGAAUUAGACAAUGAGAUUUAUAUUUCUGAGGUUCCCAUAGGUAACAUGUUUUUAUUCUUUAAAUAUAUCCUUCUCUUUUAUUAAGGUAUUAAAGUUAGCGGUAUAAGCAUUGACCUUAGGCUUAGAAUUGGAAUGAAUUUUAAUUCAGGCUCCACACUCAGCAGGUUUGAAGUUAUAGAUGAGAAGGAAAAAGAUGAGCAGUUUCGUUUUUUAUAGAACAAGCACUUCAUGCCCGGGUCAUUAUAUAGACUCAUUCAAUAUGAAUUCUGUAAACUAUAAAUUACAAAUGUAUAUGGAUUGACUCUUUUAAACGCUUUAUCUUUAACUGUGUAAACGAUUAUAUUUAAAGAGGGCAUUAACGCAGAGUUUAAUACAACACACAGCUAUUUCUGCAUAAAUUAACACUAUAAAGCAGAAGUGGAAGGUAUUGUCCCUGGACUGUGUGGCCCUGCAGUAGGGUAAGCCGCUGUAGGGGAAGCAGCUGUAGGGGAAGCAGCUGUAGGGUAAGCAGCUGUAGGGUAAGCAGCUGUAGGUAAGCAGCUGUAGGUAAGCAGCUGUAGGGGAAGCAGCUGUAGGGGAAGCAGCUGUAGGUAAGCAGCUGUAGGGUAAGCAGCUGUAGGGUAAGCAGCUGUAGGUAAGCAGCUGUAGGGUAAGCAGCUGAAGGUAAGCAGCUGUAGGUAAGCAGCUGUAGGGUAAGCAGCUGUAGGUAAGCAGCUGUAGGUAAGCAGCUGAAGGUAAGCAGCUGUAGGUAAGCAGCUGUAGGGUAAGCAGCUGUAGGUAAGCAGCUGUAGGUAAGCAGCUGUAGGGGAAGCAGCUGUAGGUAAGCAGCUGUAGGGGAAGCAGCUGUAGGGGAAGCAGCUGUAGUUUGCUUUGUCCUUCCGUUAGGCUGAGAAGCUGGAGCGACUCUCCUAUCAGAUCAUGAGUCCCAGUGGGAAGGUCAUCCCAGCGCUUAUUUAACUAGCUAUACCAAACACAUUCAAGGGGGCUGGAGAGAUGGCUCAGCGGUCAAGAGCACUGACUGCUUUUCCAGAGGUCCCGAUUUCAGUUCCCAGCAACCACGUGAUGACUCACAACCAUUUGUAGUGGGAUCUGAUGCCCUCUUCUGGUGUGUCUGAAGACAGCUACAGUACACUCCCAUACAUAAAAGUAAAUACAUAAUUCUUUUUUUUUAAAAAAAAGACAUAUUCAAGUUUUUAAAAUUGAGUCCCGAUUGUGAUGAGAAUUUCUGUCCUGGUUAGUUAGUUCCCUGACUAAGAAAGUUAUGUGGAUAACUCACUGUUUGAGUCUAAUUUCUUUAAUACAUGUGUUUUUGAUCCUGUCUGGUCUCUUUUGUGUUUUAUUUUUGAAGUUUUUUAUUUCCUUUAAAUUGUGGAAUUAACAGAGCUGAUGUACCUUCAGUGUUUUUAGUAGUCUCUGAACACUGUUUUUCUGAAAGAAUAAUCAUGGUUUUCUGUAGAGCUUAGUAUGGGAAGCCACUGGAGAUGAUACCUGAGCCCCACCUCAUCUAUUUUGUCUUUGAUUUUCUAGUCCUCCUUCGUCAGGAUGUAGAACUUUCCCCUUCUCCCUCCUGGAGGCCUACCAGCCUUUUUUUAUUAGAAUGAUUUGCUUAAAUCAUAUUAGAAGAAAUUAGAAGAAAAGAAAUAUAACAUUUUCAACCCCGGUGCAUUUAGCACUGUGUGCGAAGGUUUUUAUGAGCAUGUCGGUGUCUGGUUGUCGCUAUCUAGAAUGUGACUGCGCGUUGUAGGUGUUGUAGCGCCACGAGCCCUCCGUGGGCUCCACAGGUACUUUUGGUAUAGUCUCGUCGUAAUGGCUUCAUGACUAAGACAUGGGUCAUCAAGCAUGGAGUCCCCAGAUGUAUAUUCUAUUCCUUUCUCUUCUCUACACAGAAAAACUGACUGUCUGGGUAGAGAACAAAAACAGCGUGUCCUGUGCGGGUUAAAGCUCUUACUCUAGGGAGUUUGGGGAAGAUGCCUCUUACAAAGUACCACAUAAGUAGUGUAGACGGAUGCUGUGCGUGAUCAAGGCAAGGCUACUCUGGCUAGGAAGCUUUGGGAAAGCCAGAGAAUGUUGAAGGUUAAGGGACACCCAGCAGCAGUAAGUGGGUGCAUUGGCAACAGACAAGUAGAAAAGUUACUUAGAAACGAAGUGUGUGGGGCCUUGCUUUUUGUUGUUGGUUUGUGGGGAUUUCAGUGCAUGUGUCAUUUAUGUAUGCGUGUAUGUAUGUAUGCAUGUAUGUAUUUAUUUAUUUAUUUUUACAGUACUAGGGUACACAUUUGGGGCCAUCCCUGUGCUAGGCAAGCACUCACCAUUGGCUGUAUCACUAUCCCCAAAAUCAGGGUUUUAGUCGGAAAUAACAGACCAGGUUGUCGAGGACUCCUUAAAUGCUGGCCUUUAGAAGUUGGAAGUAGGUUUAUCAUUUGUGUUCUUUCUAAGAGAAACACAUUUGGGGUAGAUAAAAGAGACAUGCUUUCUUUUAGCUAAAGCAAUCCCGAUUAUUAUUUUUUUUACCAUUUAAAAUACUUUCUUUUAGCAUUUUAAAGAGCACACUAGUGAUUAUACAUUUGUGUAUUUUUAAAAUGUUUCAUGUAACAUUGCACAGUUUGGGGUUUUAUGUUCCUGUAAUUUGUAAAUUUAUACUAAAUGUUGUGCUAGUAAUUGUAAGUUAUUAUUGCUUAUGAUUUUCCCAACUACAUCCCAGUUUAAGACAGUGUCCAUGGAGUUUUUGUGCAUAUUAAGUCUCUUCUCUUUGUUACAAUGAUUCUCAGAAAUAUCAUUAGCAUGAACUUAUGAUUUUGAUAUAUUCCAUCAAAUUGAUUUCCACAGAGUUGUACCAAAGUAGAAGACUACCCAGUGGCCAGUUAAGCACCUCGGUUUCAUUUGUCUUCUGUGGCACUGCAUGUUACUUCUAAAGUGUUUCCUUUUUAUGUUUAUUUACUUCAACUUAUGUUUAUUUGAAUACGUGUGAAGCUGAGUGGACAGAGGCAUCUGUGUGUCCUUUUGUAAGGAGAACGCAGCGUAGAAGACUUUGACUGUUUUGUUGCUGUUGUUACCCUGAGCGGAGUUUGAGGACACCUCCUGUGGCGUAAGCUAGUGUUUGUGACUUUCUCACAGGCCUCUGCGGUUUCCCCUCCCCUGCGAGCCGAGCCGGUCCUUGGAUGGCUCCUUUCCUCCGCUGGCUCCCAGCGCUUAUGUUAACAGUUCCCAAAUCUGCAUUUUUUUCCUGCACCUGCUUGUUUGGUUCAGUCCCCAUGGAAGUGUCCCAAGCACCACCGGAUCAGCUUGUUAGGCUCUGUACGUCAAACCGGCUGGUUCCUGUUUGUGCUCUAUUUCAUUAAAAUGGCCCCGCUCGCUCACCUUGCCGGGGCUCUGGGGGAGCCAGAGCGCGAGCAUUCUGCUGCUCCUGCAUCUGAACCCCAAACCUUCCAGUUCUGCAUCUGCUGGCCUCACCCUAACACUCCCUUUAACACAGUCCUUGUCAAUUUUAUGUUAUCAUUCUUAUCGCCGCACACCAGGAAGCUUCUAGCAGUUCAUUGCUUCGUGAGUCACUUUACAACAAAACGGACCAGGCGUUCUUGACAAUGGUGUUCACCGUGUUUUCAGGGAAAGUAGGCCGUGGAGGCCUGUGCUACUGUCCUAGUGGACAUCGGCCCUCUGCUACUCAGCUAGAAAACGCAAGCUCGAAAGGUGGAGAUGGAAAUCCGGAAUCUAGGGUCUUGGCUAAGUGUGGUGGUGCACACCUUUGAUCAGCAGCGCUCCAGAGGCAGAGGAUGGCUAUCUGUGAGUUCGAAGCCAGCCUAGUCUACAUAGUGAGUCCAGGAUAGCUAGGGCUAUGUAGAAUGGCCCUGUCUGAGAAAAACAAAAGCAAGAUGCACAAACAAAAAAGAACUUCUUAGUACUAAACACAUCUGUCUACAGCAUAGUCCCACGUAGUUAAAACAAACAAGCAAACCUAAACAAGACGUCACACAGAAGAGAGACCAUAGGUACUGGAGCACAGGUAGAGGUGUUACAGCUGAUUUCUCCCACUGCCCUGCGGUUCUGAGGUGAAGGUAAAUCGGCAGCAAACACACUCCCCUUCCUUCACCCACUACAGAGCUACCGUUUUCUCUCUCUGCUUUCCUCCUUGCUCCCAUUGGUUUAUUCUUCUUAUGCAUCUUAAUUAAGGUUUCUGUUGCUGUGAUAAAAACCAAACCAAACCAAACCAAACCAACCAUGACCAAAAGGUAACUUGGGGAGGGAAGGGUGUAUUUCACCGUAUACUUCCUUAUCAUUAUUCUUCACUGGAGAAGGAAGUCAGAGCGGGGACACAAACGGCAGGAACCUGGAGGCAGGAGCUGAUGCAGAGGCCACAUUCCCAUGGCUGGCUCAGCCUGCUCUCUGGUGUAAGUCUGGACCUCCUGCCUAGGGAUGACAGCAUUCACCGUGAGCUGGCCCCUCCCACAUCCAUCAUCAAUCAAGAGAUGCUUGCCAGACGUGCCCAUAGCGCAGUCUUCCCAUUGAGAGUCCCUCUUCCCAGAUGACUCUAGCUUGGCCGGGUUGACCCAACACCAACCAGGACUCGUUCUUCUGUCAUGUGGAUGUAAGGAGUCUCUGCUCAAGCCCUGAGGCUGCAUUUUAGUGUUCAGGAUAAAGUUAAAGCGCCUUAACACGACUUAAUGCUAUGCCCUCUCCAUCUUUUGAGACAGAGUUGCCAGGGACUGAUGGUAACAGAUGGCUUUCAGCUUCUGAUGCCCCUGCGUCCACCUCAUGGUUACUGCUGUGAUCACUUGCUUGGACUGAGCCCAGGUUUUCCUGAGUGCUACUGAAGCAUUCUACCAAUUGGUUUAGCUCCCUCCCCCCCAAAGCAGUUUCCCCAGGUCACAUUUUAUUUAUUGAUUAGAGAAAUCGAUAGCUGAUCACUAUAAAUAAGUUAGUUCUUAAUUGUAAAAAUUAAUUUAUUGCCAUGAACAAGUUACUAACGAGUUAAAUUGGGGCGCGUGUUCCAUCGUGUUUGUAUGGGGAUCAGAGGAUAACUUGCAGGCAGGAGUAGGCUCUCUCCUACCACCAUGCAGUUUCCAUGGGUUGAACUCCAGACCCUGGAUUUGAUAGCAAAUGCCUGUAACUGCUGGGCUCACUCCCCAGGGCGCUUCUUGAUUUUCUUGAGGUUUACCGCUCUGGCUUUUUUCUUUUGCCCUACACUCAGAUAACACUGAAACUUGGUUUUCAGCUUUCUGUGUGGGUGUACUGCUCAUUCCUCUCACCCUUCUAUACCUUGCUCAUGUUCUGCACAUUUUCUUUUUAACCUUUAACUGCCUAGUUUAGACUGGUCCCAGAACUCUACACUUUAUCUGUUCUAAAAGCCUGUGUUUUAUUAAGUCUGGAUUUAGAGAUCUGCCUGAGUGGUUUUUCUUCCUUCUUUUUGAUUGGCACCAUAGUUUCCAUGUCAGUUAUCCAUGUGUAUUUUGAAUUAAUUGAAUGGGAUUCCUUUAUUUAUUCACUUAUUUCAUUUAUUGAGAUUACCAGGGACCUGCUACUUCCCUAAAUACUGGGGCUAUUUCAGUGGACAGGACAGUGUCCCUGUGGUCCUGGAGCUGACCACCUAGUAUGACAGAGUGAGGUAGGAAAAUACUUACGUACUAGACAAUGUUGUAAGUGCAAUGGACAGCAGGAGUGGGAGAGUACAGCGUCUUUAAAAGGAGGCCUGGAGAGCUGGUUCAGCACUUCAGAGCAAUUGCUUCUCUUCCAGGGGACCAGCAUUCAAUUCCCAGUAGCCAGUCGGCAGCUCAUGACCAUGAGUAACUCUAGUUUAAGGGGAUCCAAUUCCUUCUUCUGACCUCAGAGGGAAGCAGACAUAGAAGUGAUCAGACACGAAUGCAGGCAACACAGCGUACACAUUAAAGAAAAAGUAGAGGAAUAGACAGAGCUCUUUUUCUAGCUAUUGUGCACAGUAUAAGAAUUAGCUUUAUGGUUGGAAGAUAAUUGGAGAAAUUGUGCUAGGCUGUUAGGACAUUAUCGGUAAGGCCAUGAGAUAAUUGAUGAGGUUUAUUGACAGAUCAGCUGCCUUUGUGGGAAGAAUGUUUAAAGACUAAUGCCCCAGCAGGAUUACAGAAACACCAAAGAGCCACUCAGUUUUAAUAAAUAAUAAAAUAAGAAGUUGGGUAUUAGAAUAUUAAUAAUCUUUAAAAUCAUUGGAGAUCUGGUUAGUAAAAGAGGGUGGUUGCAACCCAGAGGGACACCAGUUUUGAGAUAUUAAUUUACUGUUCUUUAUGGAGGCAAGGGUUAUUGUUGGAACAUUUUAUGUAAAUUUAAAAUGAAAGUAUUUAUGACUGUCUCACUCACACCCUACAGUUUAUGCUCCCAGUUCCCUUUAAGACAUGACAACUCAAGUGAGGUGACCGAGGGCUUUUUCUCCAGUGUUGGGGAGGGAGCUUCAGGGCUUUGCGUUUGCUGGGUCAGUGACCCACAGUGGAGCCAAGCUCCUAACCGUCCACUGUUUUUGCAUUAGCAGAGUUUCUCUAAAAUUCUGAAAUGUAGAUAAACAAUAUUAGAAGUGUCACAAAGUGUUUCACAUCAAAGGCUGCUUGAGCCCAUUGUCUCUUGUUUCUGUGCCCAGACACCAUGUUUUUGUCCCUGCCUUUCUCUUUAUGGUUACCAUUGUGUCUAACAGUCAAGCACUUGGCAGAGGGCGCCUUCAUUGUUAAUUCUGACUGCUGUUGCUUGUUUGCCCUCUUCCAUGGUAGAUGGAUGCUGUUUUCUCCCGCUGCUGCUCCGCUGGCUGCAUCACAAGGUUAGGGACAUGGUUGACUUAAUAAUAGUCAUGGUUCAAAAUUCAUGAGCAAGACUCAUCGUGCAGUGCUAGGCUAGACUUUCUACAUAAUUAUAAUCUUGAGAACGUCUGCUGCGUCCCUACAAGUAAUGUCUCUGUUUCUUGUUGGGUCUUUUGGGGAUUGCCCUUGCCUCUGCUGAGGCUGUGCUUAGUUCCUGAUAUUUGCUGUCCAGCUGAAGCCCUGGACUUGCUUCUCUGAGUUCCUUUCUGCGUUUCCAUCUUAUCUGAGGGUGUCCUUCUUCACUUAGUAAUUAAGCCUCCAGGAGCUUGUCACAAAAGAUGGUGGGAGACGGAGUUUUUGAAGACUUGAAUAUUAGAAAUGAUUUUUUAUUUGGACAUACUAAUUUUUCUGCUGGUGGGAGUCUAGAUUGAAAAAAAACCACUUUCCUUGGCAUUCUAAGGGCUUUGCUUCAUAGUCGUCCGCCUUCGGGGUUUCUGGCGAAGAGGCCAGUAUAUGCUCACACAGUCUGCUUGCUUUUCUGGCUGUUUUGUAUAUGAUGUUAAGGAAUCCAUUCAAAAACUAUGUAUAUGUAUACCAUAUAUGCUUAUGCCUGUAUUAUACCUGUGAGAGAUGGAGAGAUGGCUGCAGCCUGGCAUGGCGGUACAAGCCUGUGAUCCUAGCAUGGGGAAGACUGAUGCAGGAGGAUAGAGAAUCUAAGGCCAGUCAGGCUGUAUGCUAAGGCUCUCCCUUCAAAACAAAACAAAAGAGGAAUGCCCUGUGUGUUUCUCGGAUCUUUUUAUUCAGCCUGGGCAUCGGUAGGAGACACAGAUGAUUUCUUCCCUUUGUUGGGCAACAUUUCUUCAAUCUUUCAGAAUUUCCAGCUCCCUUGAAUCUCCUAAGUUUUUAAUUUUCCUCUGUGUAAGUUGGCUUCUCAGACUUUUUCUCUAAUUUGGCUAUGUUUGUGCCUUUACUGCCUUCAUUUCAUUGGUCCUUCCCUUUUCUUUUACUGGUGAUUCUUUUAUUGCCUCAAGGGAACGCUCUAGCAUGUAUUUCUAAGUCUGGGCCUAAACCAGAGUGGAGCUAUUGGGCCAUAGAACGUAUGUGUGUUGAGCUGUCUAAGAUGCUGCUAAGCCAUUUUCUUGGUGGCUGUGUACAUCUACACAUCCAUCAAGGGGUGCAGUUCCUAUCAGGUCUUUGUUGGGACUUAGUGUGGUUAGUCCUCAGAAGUGCAAGUACGUCAGUGUGUACUCAGUGGUUUCUUUAUGGUUCUAAUGUGCAUUUUCUUGGUAAGUGGGGGCCCUAAUAACCAGUUUUGUGAUUUGGCCAUGUGUAUAAUCCUCCUGCUGCAGUACCUCUUCAACACUUCCGAUCUGUUCAUUACUCAUUAUUGUGUACAUGUAGGGGUCGAAUCAGGUCACUAUCAGCUUGGUAAGCAAGCAAAAGUUUUUAUUCAGUGUUAUAAUGGAUUGGUUUUUCUCAUUGAGUCAAGGAGUUCUUUGUGUACAUUUGAAUAUAAAUCCUAGUAUUUGCUUCAAGUUUGUAGAUUACCUCUCUAUUCUCUUAAGAGUGGCUUUGGGAAAUAUGCACUCACAAUUUUAAGAAAGUCUUUUGGUGAGCUGGUCUGGGAGGGUGAGACUUUCUGCGUGCCGAUGAUGCCCUGGUCAUUGUUACAGUGUCUAUUCCUUAAGCUUCAGUCACCGAUUUUUCUUAAGACCUGUUGGUUUACUUGACAGUUCUCAAUGUAAUCUUUUAGGUUAUCUUCUGAAAGCUUAUGUUACAUUUAGAUCUACUGUCCACCAAGAAUUGAUCUUAUGUUUGAUAUAAGGUGGAUUUAUGUCUCAAUGUAAGGACAUCCAACUGACAUAGCAUGAUUUUUUUUAAAAAAACCAAGUAUUUGUCCAUUGCUGUGCUCUGCCUUCCUUGCUGUUGAGCAUACACAGGUGAACGAGGGCUUGUGGAGCUCAUGUUUAUCCAUUAGGCCUUGCAUUUUUUCAUGGGAAGCAGCUUCACACACACAGACACACACACAGAAACACACAGACACACACACAGACACAGACACAGACACAGACACACACACACACAGACACAGACACACACACAGACACAGACACACACACAGACACAGACACACACACAGACACACACACACAGACACACACACACAUGAGACAUAUAUAACAAGACACCGACACACACACAGACACACACACAGACACAGACAUAGACACACACACAGACACACACAGACACACACACACAAACACACAGACACAGACACACACACAGACACACACACACAGAUACAGAAACACACAGACACACACACAGACACAGACACACACAUGAGACAUAUAUAACAAGACGCAGACACACACACAGACACAGACACACACAGGAGACAUAUAUAACAAGACGCAGACACACACACAGACACACACACACAGACACACAGACACACACAGACACACACACACAGGAGACAUAAAUAACAAGACGCAGACACACACACAGACACACACACGAGACAUAUAUAACAAAACGCAGACACACAGACACACACACAGAUACAGACACACACAGACACACACACAGACACACACACACACAAGACAUAUAUAACAAGACGCAGACACACACAGACACACACAUAGACAUAUAUAACAAGACGCAGACACACACAGACACAGACACACACACACACACACACGAGACAUAUAUAACAAGACGCAGACAUAUAUACAUAUAUUUGCAGCUACGUAACUAAAGCUCUGCUUGGUUUGUACCGUGAGUCUCUCAUCAUCAUCUACUGCUUGGUUUGUACCUCGAGUCUCUCAUUAUCAUCGUCCUUUUUUCCUGGGACGCCAUAAGAAGAUAUGGCUGGCCUUUGGUUGUCAUCCAUUCUCUGCAGGUCCUGGGUUUAAGUCGCCUUAGCUGGCUAUAACCAGGUAGCUCAGGUGCUAAAUGGAACUGAUUUUACUUUAUUUAUUUAUUUUUAAAAGAAUUAUUUAAUUAUUUUAUAUAUAUGAGUACACUGUAGCUGUCUUCAGACACACCAGAAGAGAACACUGGAUCCCAUUACAGAUGGUUGUGAGCCACCAUGUGGUUGCUGGGAAUUGAACUCAGGACCUCUGGAAGAGCAGUUGAUGCUCUUAACCACUGAGCCAUUUCUCCAGCCCCUGGAACUGAUUUUAAAUAGAGCAAUUUGUCCACUGGACAGUGAAUUCCUUCUAGAUAGAAGCAUCAUUUGUCCAUAUAACCCUAAUUUAACGUCUUAUGUGUUUAACUUCUCAAAAAUUGGUGAAUGCAAAGUGCACAUUUUCUGGGUUUUGCUUUAGUCUCUAAGUUUGUGACAAGGUCUUUUUUUUUUUUUUUUUGGUUCUUUUUUUUCGGAGCUGGGGACCGAACCCAGGGCCUUGCGCUUCCUAGGUAAGCGCUCUACCACUGAGCUAAAUCCCCAGCCCCGUGACAAGAUCUUUUUAUUUCUUUUUUUCCCCUCCUUUAUUUUGUUGGAUGGAAUUUGGGGUCAAACUCAGAGCUUUGUACAUCAAGGCAAGCGUCUAUCACUGAGCUACAGAUGCAGUCCUGGAGUAUUCUACCUCAGUUCCAUACACAGUCCUGGAUGGUACCCUACUAGGGAACCACAUACUCGUCCUGGGGGACAGUCUACAACUAAGCUCUUCUCCCAGUGUCAGGUUUCUUUCUCUUCUGAUCAUAUACAGUAAAUGCCUUAUGAAAAUGAACUGUACAAAUGAAUUUUAUAAGUCUAACAUUAUUUAAAAAUUCUCAGCAAAUUGCUAAAAAUUUGUAAUAUGAAAAAACUUCCUUAUAGUUUUUCAAUGUUUUGAUGAUCUAUGAUAGAAGCGACAGUCGUUAGUGUUUGUAGUAUGCUAUUGAAACUAUGUCUAAGAGAGAAUUUUCCUAAAAGAAUACAUGUGUUUGUGCUGCCCCAGGAUUAGAACCUUUAGCUGCCAGACUAGCUCCUUUCCAGGGAUGUUUGCAUGCAGCUGUGUAAUAACAUUCAUGCUGUGUCGCAUGUUGCUGUGUGAGCAACCCUGCGGUAACGUCAUGUGCUUGACCAAAUUAAAGGUUACGGCUACAGCUAUUACAAAGUGACUUUUUUUUCUUUUCUUUUUUUUUUCUUUUUUCUUUUUUUUGGAGCUGGGGACUGAACCCAGGGCCUUGCGCUUGCUAGGCAAGCACUCUACCACUGAGCUAAAUCCCCAACCCCCAAAGUGACUUUUUUAAAAAAGAUAACCUGUUUCUCUGUCUGAUGAAGUAUUAGCAGUUUUCUCCUUAGGUACUGGGCAACUUACAUUUCCUGUGGAUUUUAGUAUUUUAUUGGAAUGCUACUUACAGUCUUUUUUCCCCUUUGAAAAAGGUGUUCUAAUAUGCUGACUAACAGAGUAGAGAACACUGGAGCAUACAGAGCUUCAUCCCUGAAGGCAGACCUUUCUAAAUCCCCUGACAGCAGGUGAAGAUGAUAGUCGAGUUGGGCAGAGGGGACGUGAGACAAGAAUGGCAUCUAGAAUUACAAGGUUCUGUGAUCUCAAGCAAUGUCAGUGAUAAUACAGUAGCAGGGAGGGUAAAGCCUGGGUUAGAAAGAAAAGAAAGAUGGCAGCUCAGGAUGUAAGAAGACCUUCUCUUUGGGAGUAAAGAGGCAGUUUAAGAGAGCAGAGGCAUGAAUGAGAUUGUGUUUCGGGUACUGAGAGUUCAACUGAGCUUGUACCUUUAGGGAAGGAGCCCACAGAGCUGCAAGUGCGAUGGUAGUGAACUGGGCGAUGGAUGAGGCAGCAGGAGGAGGUGGGGCAGACCAGGGCCAGGGUGUGGGGCAGGCUCAGCACAGGAGCAGGGCAGCUGAGGCGGAGGAGGACACUGCAGACCUCAGUGCCAGGCACCUCUAGUGAGCCCGGGACCGAGGCUUGUGGGCUCUCUAACUUAGCUAAUAUCUAGCUCAUGAUGUUGAAAAUAAACAGAAAGAAAUAGUUUCGAGAUAGUUUUGAAAGACCUUUCCUUAGUUUUACUUCCGAACUUUAGCAUGUUACUAAGUGUUGAGUUAAUUCCAAUGGAGAAUGUAAUUUCAAAUGAAAAAUGCACUUUAAGGCGAUCUGUGAGGGUCAAAAUCAGCUUUACUCUUUUGCCUGGCUACAUUCGAAAGGAUGCUCCUCUGUAUGUUUUUAGUUAGAGGAAUCCAGAGCACUGGUGGCUAUACACUAAGGUUUUAUGCAAAUUUGUGUGUUCAAGGCCAGUUUGUGUGUUGUGCUUUGUUACUAGGUCUAUGCUUGAACAUGAGAAGUCACUCUGAUAGGAGUCUGGCUUUUCACAGUAGUAUGUGUGACGUCUUUGCAGUAGCAUGCUGUGUAGUGCUGCGUGUAUAAGAGCUCCUAAAAUCUAUGUGUCUCUACUCUUUACAUUCUGAUGUAUGUGCCCCAUCUUUAAAUGUUUCAGACAUUUGGACUCCCCGUCUUCCAAAAUAAGUAAUCUUAGAAUGGGUCUAGCUUCUCAAAACAUCAUUUAAUCCAGUGCGUUUGAAUUAUUAAUAAUUAAUAAUUGCUUUUUACAGCCUGAUUUUAGUCAGAAAAUGGAUGAAUUUCAACUUUUAAAAAUGUUCUUUUUUUACUUGCACAUUUUUUAAAUUUACAUUUCAAAUGUUAUCCCCUUUCUUGGUUUCCCAUCCAUAAACUCACUAUCCCAUCCCUUUCUCCUCCUUUUUCUAUGAGGGUGCUUUUCCGCCAACCCCACAGUGACAUUCCCCUACACUGGGGGUCCAGCCUUGGCAGGACCAAGGGCUUCUUCUCCUUUUGGUGCCCAACAAAGCCGUCCUCUGCUACAUAUGCAGCUGGAGCCAUGGGUCCCUCCAUGUAUAGUCUUUGGGUGGUUUAGUGGUUUAGUCCCUGGGAGCUCUGGCUGGUUGGUAUUGUUCUUCUUAUGGGGUUGCAAGCGCUUUCAGCUCCUUCAGUCCUUUCUCUAACUCCUCCAGUGGGGACCCUGUUCUCAGUUCAGUGGUUGGCUGGGAGCAUUCACCUCUGUAUUUGUCAUGCUCUGGCAGAGCCUCUCAGGAGACAGCUCUAUCAGACUCUUGUAGGGACUUCUUGGCAUCAGCAAUGUUGUCUGGGUUUGGUGGUUGUGUGUAUAUGGUCUGGAUCCCCAGGUGGGGCAGGCUCUGGAUGGCCUUUCCUUCAGUCUCUGCUCCAAACUUUGUCUCCAUAUCCUCUCCUAUGAAUGUUGUUGUUCCCCCUUUUAAGGACUGAAGCAUCCGCACUUCGGUUGUCCUUCGAGAGCUUCAUGUGCUCUGUGGACUGUAUCUUGGGUAACUCGAGCUUUUGGCUAAUAUCCAAUUAUCAGUGAGUGCAUCCCAUGUGUGUUUUUCUGUGAUUGGGUUACCUCACUCAGGAUGAUAUUUUCCAGUUCCAACCAUUUGCCUACGAAUUUCAUAAAGUCAUUGUUUUUGAUAGCUGAGUAAUAUUCCAUUGUGUAGAUGUACCACAUUUUCUGUAUCCAUUCCUCUGUUGAAGGGCAUCUGGGUUCUUUCCAGCUUCUGGCUAUUAUAAAUAAGGCUGCGAUGAACAUAGUGGAGCAUGUGUCUUUUUUAUAUGUUGGGGCAUCUUUUGGGUAUAUGCCCAGGAGUGGUAUAGCUGGGUCCUCAGGCAGUUCAAUGUCCAAUUUUCUGAGGAACCUCCAGACUGAUUUCCAGAAUGGUUGUACCAGUCUGCAAUCCCACCAACAAUGGAGGAGUGUUCCUCUUUCUCCACAUCCUCACCAGCAUCUGCUGUCACCUGAGUUUUUGAUCUUACCCAUUCUGAUUGGUGUGAGGUGGAAUCUCAGGGUUGUUUUGAUUUGUAUUUCCCUGAUGACUAAGGAUGUUGAACAUUUCUUUAGGUGCUUCUCAGCCAUUCGAUAUUCUCCAGCUGAGAAUUCUUUGUUUAGCUCUGUACCCCAUUUGUAAUGGGGUUAUUUUGCUCUUUGGAGUCUAACUUCUUGAGUUCUUUGUAAAUAUUGGAUAUAAGUCCUCUAUCAUGUGUAGGAUCAGUAAAGAUCUUUCCCAAUUUGUUGGUUGCUGUUUUGUCCUAACGACAAUGUCCUUUGCCUUACAGAAGCUUGGAAUUUUAGGAAGUCUAUUUGUCGAUUCUUGAGUUUAGAGCAUAAGCCAUUGGUGGUCUGUUCAGGAAAAUUUCCCCAGUGUCCGUGUGUUCAAGACUCUUCCCCACUUUUUUUCUAUUAGUUUGAGUGUAUCUGGUUUAAUGUGGAGGACCUUGGUCCACUUGGACUUGAGUUUUGUACCCGGUGAUAAGCAUGGAUUGAUUUGCAUUCUUCUACAUGCUGACCUCCAGUUGAACCAGCACCAUUUGUUGAAAAUGCUAUCUUCCUUCCAUUGGAUGGUUUUAGCUCCUUUGUCAAAGAUCAAGUGACCAUAGGUGUGUGGGUUCAUUUCUGGGUCUUCAAUUCUAUUCUAUUGAUCUACCUGCCUGUCUCUGUACCAAUAUCAUACAGUUUUUAUGACUAUUGCUCUGUAAUAUAGCUUGAGGUCAGGGAUAGUGAUUUUGUCCAGAAGUUCUUUUAUUGUUGAGGAUAGAUUUCGCUAUCCUGGUUUUUUUGUUAUUCCAAAUGAAUUUGCAAAUUGCCCUUUCUAACUCUAUGAAGAAUUGAGUUGGAAGUUUGAUGGGGACUGCAUUGAAUCUGUAGAUUGCUUUUGGCAAAAUGGCCAUUUUUGCUAUAUUAAUCCUGCCAAUCCAUGAGCAUAGGAGGUCUUUCCAUCUUCUGAGAUCUUCAAUUUCUUCCUUCAGAGACUUGAAGUUCUUGUCAUACAGAUCUUUCACUUGCUUGGUUAGAGUCACACCAAGGUAUUUUAUGUUAUCUGUGACUAUUGUGAAGGUUGUCAUUUCCCUAGUUUCCUUCUCAGCCUGUUUAUCCUUUGAGUAGAGGAACGCUACUGAUUUGUUUGAGUUAAUUUUAUAACAAGCCACUUUGCUGAAGUUGUUUAUCAGGCUUAUUAGUUCUCUGGUGGAACUUUUGGGGUCACUUAAGUGUACUAUCAUAUCAUCUGCAAAUAGUGAGUGAUAUUUUGACUUCUUUCUUCUCAAUUUGUAUCCCUUUGACCUCUUUUUGUUGUCUGAUUGCUCUGGCUAGGACUUUGAGUACUAUAUAUAUAUUGAAUAAGUAGGGAGAGAGUGGGCAGCCUUGUCUAGUCCCUGAUUUUAGUGGGAUUGCUUCAAGUUUCUCUCCAUUUAGUUUGAUGUUGGCUACUGGUUUGCUGUAUAUUGCUUUUACUAUGUUUAGGUAUGGGCCUUGAAUUCCUGAUCUUUCUAGGACUUUUGUCAUGAAGGGAUGUUGAAUUUUGUCAAAUGCUUUCUCAGCAUCUAAUGAGAUGAUCAUGUGUAUUGGCUAGUUUUGUGUGUCAACUUGUCACAAGCUGGAGUUAUCACAGAAAAGGUGUGUCAGUUGUGGAAAUGCCAUCAUGAGACCCAGCUGUAAGGCAUUUUCUCAACUAGUGGUCAAGUGGGGGAGGACCCAGUCUAUUGUGGGUGGUUCCAUCCCUGGGCUAAUGGUCUUGGGUUCUAUAAGAGAGCAAGCUGAGCAAGCCAGGGGAAGGAAGCCAGUAAGAAACAUCCCUCCAUGGCCUCUGCAUCAGCUCCUGCUUCCUGACCUGCUUGAGUUCCAGUCCUGACUUCCUUUGGUGAUGAACAGCAAUGUGGAAGUGUGAGCUGAAUAAACCCUUUCCUCCCCAACUUGCUUCUUGGUCAUGAUGUUUGUGCAGGAAUAAAAACCCUGACUAAAGCAUCAUGUGUUUUUAUUCUUUGAAUUUGUUUACAUAGUGGAUUACAUUGAUGGAUUUCCUUAUAUUGAACCAUCCCUGCAUCCCUGGGAUGAAGCCUAUUUGCUCACGGUGAAUGAUUGUUUUAAUGUGUUCUUGAAUUCUGUUUGUGAGAAUUUUAUUGAGUGUUUUUGCAUCGAUCUUCAUAAGGGAAAUCAGUCUGAAGUUCUCUUUCUUUGAUGGGUCUUUGUGUGUAUUAUGUAUAAGAGUAAUUGUGGCUUCAUAGAAGGAUUUGUGUAGUGUUCUCUAUGGUUUUAUUUGUGGAAUAGUUUGGACAGUAUUGGCAUUAGGUCUUCUAAGAAGGUCUGAUAGAGUUCUCCACUAAAUCCAUCUGAUCCUGGGCUUUUUUUGGUUGGGAGACUUUUAAUGACUGCGUCUAUUUCUUCAGUAGUUAUGGGGUUGUUUAGAUGAUUUAUCUGAUCUGAUUUAACUUUGGUACCUGGUAUCUGUCUAGAAAAGUGUCCAUUUCAUCCAGAUAUUCAGUUUUGUUGAAUAUAGGCUUUUGUAGUAGGAUCUGAUGAUUUUUAAAAUUUCCUUAGAUUCUGGUGUUAUGUCUCCCUUUUCAUUUCUGAUUUUGUUAAUUUGGAUACACUCUCUGUGCCCUCUGGUUGGUCUGGCUAAGGGUUUAUCUAUCUCAUUGAUUUUCUCAAAGAACUAGCUCCUGGUUCUGUUGACUUUUAACUUUUUGUAUAGUCCUUUUCAUUUGUACUUGGUUGAUUUCAGCGCUGAGUUUGAUUAUUUCCUGCCUUCUACUCCUCACGUGUAUUUGCUUCUUUUUGUUCUAGAGCUUUCUGGUGUGCUGUCAAGCUGCUGACAUAUGUUCUCUCCAGUUUCUUUGGAGGCACUCAGAGCUAUAAGUUUUCCUCUUAGCACAGCUUUCAUUGUGUUCCAUAAGUUUGGGUAUGCUGUGCCUUCAUUUCUAUUAAAUUCUAAAAAGUCUUUAAUUUCUUUAUUUCUUCCUUGACCAAGUUAUUAUUGAGUACAACGUUGUUCAACUCCCAUGUAUAUGUGGGCUUUCUGUUUUUUUGUUGUUGUUGACCAGCCUUAGUCCAUGGUGAUCUGAUAGGAUGCAUUGGAUUUUUCAAUCUUCUUGUAUUUGUUGAAGCCUGUUUUGUGACUGAGUAUAUGGUCAGUUUUGGAGAAGGUACCAUCAGGUGCUGAGAAGAAGGUAUGUUCUUUUGUUUUAGGGUGAAAUGUUCUAUAGAUAUAUGUGAAUCCAUUUGAGUUCAUAACUUCUGUUAGUUUCACUGUGUCUCUGUUUAGUUUCUGUUUCCAUGAUCUGUCCAUUGAUGAGAGUGAGGUGUUGAAGUCUCCCAUUAUUAUUCUUCAAGGUGAAUCUUGUGCUUUAAGCUUUAUUAAGGUUUCUUUUAUGAAUGUAGGUGCCCUUGCAUUUGGAGCAUAGAUAUUCAGGAUUGAGAGUUCAUCUUGGUGGAUUUUUCCUUUGAUGAAUAUGAACUGUCCUUCCUUAUCUUUUUUGAUUACUUUUGGUUGAAAGUCGAUUUUCUUCGAUAUUAGAGUUAUUACUCCAGCUUGUUUCUUGGGACCAUUUGCUUGGAAAAUAUUUUCCAACCUUUUACUCUGAGGUAGUGUCUGUGUUUGUCACUGAGGUGUGUUUCCUGUAUGUAGGAAAAUGCUGGGUCCUCUUUACGUAUCCAGUUUGUUAGUCUAUGUCUUUUUAUUGGGGAGUUGAGUCCAUUGAUGUUGAGAGAUACUAAGGAAUAGUGAUCGUUGUUCCUUGUUAUUUUUGUUGCUAGAGGUUGAAUUAUGUUUGUGUGGCUCUCUUCUUUUGGGUUUGUUGCAAGAUCACUUUCUUGCUAAUUCUAGGAUAUAGUUUCCCUCCUUGUGUUGGAGUUUUCCAUCUAUUACCCUUUGUAGGGCUGGAUUUGUAGAAAGAUAUUGUGUAAAUUUGGUUUUGUCAUGGAAUAUCUUGGUUUCUCCAUCCAUGUUAAUUGAGAGUUUUGCUGGAUACAGUAACCUGGGCUGGCAUUUGUGUUCUCUUAGGGUCUAUAUGACAUCUGCCCAGGAUCUUCUGGCUUUCAUAGUCUCUGUUGAGAAGUCUGGUGAAAUUUUGAUAGGUCUGCCUUUAAAUGUUAUUUGACCUUUUUCCUUUACGGCUUUUAAUAUUCUUUCUUUGUUUUUUGUGUUUGGUGUUUUGAUUAUUAUGUGAUGGGAGGAAUUUCUCUUCUGGUCCAAUCUAUUUGGAGUUCUGUAGGCUCCUUGUAUGUUUAUGGGCAUCUCUUUCUUUAGGUUAGGGAAGUUUUCUUCUAUAAUUUUGUUGAAGAUAUUUACUGGCCCUUAAGUUGGGAAUCUUCUCUUCUAUAUUUAUUGUUUUUAGGUUUGAUCUUCUCAUUGUGUCCUGGAACUCCUGGAUGUUUUGGUUAAGAGAUUUUUGAUUUUUGCAUUUUCUUUGACUAUUCUGUCAAUGUUUUCUAUGGUAUCUUCUGCUCCUGAGAUUCUCUCUUCUAUCUCUUGUAUUCUCUUAGUGAUGCUUGCCUCUAUGACUCCUGAUCUCUUUCCUAUCUAUCUCCAAGGUUGUCUCCAUUUUUUAUUUCUUUAUUGUUUCUAUUUCCAUUUUUAGAUUCUGGAUGGUUCUGCUCAAUUCCCUCACCUGUUUGGUUGUGUUUUCUGUAAUUCUUUAAGGGAUUUUUGUGUUUCCUCUUUAAGGGCUUCUACUUGUUUACCUGUGUUGUCCUGUAUUUCUUUAAGUGAGUUAUUUAUGUCCUUCUUAAAGUCCUCUAUCAUCUUCAUGAGAUGUUAUUUUAUAUCCAAAUCUUGCUUUUCCGGUGUGUUGGGUAUGCAGUGUUUGCUGUGGUGGGAGAGCCGGGCUCUGAUGAUGCGGAGUAGACUUGGUUUAUGCUGCUUAGGUUCCUGUGCUUUCCUCUCGCCAUCUUGUUGUCUCUGGUCUUAGCUGGUUUUGAUGUCUCUGACAGUGGCUUGACCCUCCUGUAAGCCUGUUUGUCAGCACUCCUGGAGACUGACUUUUUCCCAGUGGGAUCUGGUAGAGAGCUGUGAAACUGUUAUAGCUCUAGGCACAGGCAGAGACUGGAAGGGUCCUGUCCCAGUCUGCUCCUGGGUUCUUGUGUCCUGCAGAGCAGAAUUGGUGGUCUUACCUCUGCUCUCAGGUGUGUCAGAGCUCCUGGAGACCGGCUUUCAGCUCUUGGCACAGGCAGAGACUGGAAAGAUCCUGCCCCUGACUGCUCCUAGGUUCUUGUGUACAGAGGGCUCUAGGUGGGUUCCUCUUUAGCCAGGAAUGUGAGCAGAAGUGGUGGUCUUCCAUGAGCUCUCAGGAUUGUCUGCAUUUCUGAGAGUCAAGCUCUCUCCCCCAUGGAUUUCUUUUUUUUUUUUUUUUUUUGGUUCUUUUUUUUGGAGCUGGGGACCAAACCCAGGGCCUUGCGCUUCCUAGGCAAGCACUCUACCCCUGAGCUAAAUCCCCAACCCCCCCCCCCCCAUGGAUUUCUUAAAAAUAUUUUUAUUAGAUAUUUUAUACAAUAUAUUUUGAUCAUGCCUUUCCUCCUCAAACUCCUCUCAGGACCUCACCCCAUCUCUACCCACACAACCUCAUGUUCUCUCUCUCUCUCUCUCUCUCUCUCUCUCUCUCUCUCUCACACACACACUCUCUCUCUCUCUCUCUCUCUCUCAGAAAAAUCAAAAACAAAAAACACAACAAAAUAAACAAAAACCUUCAAAACAACAGGAAACAAAAACAAACACCAAAAAUCCACAAGAAACACAAAAAAAAUAAAAUCUAAACAAAUGAGCAAAAGCCCAGUAAGAUAAAACCUGCCAAAAUCAAGCAAAGUGAAACAAGAAGUCCACAAACAUCCCUUCAGUUCUGUCAUGUUCCUCCUGCUGAUGGGCUCCUUGGUCAAUGCCUAGUUUUCAGGCAGUGUAGGAAGAGGACCAGCUGGGGCAGGCACUCCCUGCAGUUUUGCAUUCCUGGCUGCUCUGGCUGUCUGUUCUGAGAUCUGGGUCCUCUUGUGAUAAAUACCUUUCUGUUUUGUCGUCUCUCUGGACUAGAAAUGUUUAUCCUAAACCAAUUUGUUUCUCCCUCUUCCUCUGAUGCCCAGGGAUGUUUGACCAGUUGUUAGAAAUGCCCUAGUGCCCCAAACAGAAAAGGUUGCCAAAGAUCCAUGGUAAUUGUCAGAACACCAGUUCAGAAAACCCUGCUGUAGACGAUUGUAUCUGGGGAGGUCCUCUCUGUUCAAACCUGUUGGUGACUUCAGCAUAGAUCCUGUCUGUUCCCUGCUUGCUCCUGCCUGCCAUUCCAGACACAAGCCCAGCUCUCCUGAGGUUUCUCUGAGGACUUUGCCAUCACCACAGUGUAGAAACAGACAGACUAAAAAUAACAAGAAAUUAUAGUUUGGGAGCUCUUAAUUAAAAGCUGUCUAUGCCAUCCACUGAACUUGAAAGAGAAAAGGAUUCAGAUCUUUUAUAGGCCUCCGUUCAUUCUGACAAUUGAUAGGCUGCCAGGUGGGCCACAGUGCAGUCUGCGCUGUGGUAAUCAAGAAGUUUGCAAAGCAGAGCUCUCACCAUCCACAAGUGUCUGAAGCAGGGCCUCCCAAGUCUGGGUGUUCCAACAGCUACCGUGGUGUUUAGCAGCCUGGUUGGUCCACACCCCUUGGUGCCUAUGGUACUAUCCCAUUUCUAACAACCACAACAUGUCUCUGCCUAAUAUAUGUGCUCUAGACUUCCCCCUUUCUACUCAUAUGUCUCAACUGUGCAUAGCCUUGGGAGUGUCCCUUGUCACUGUUCCUCCCAAUGUGUAAUGACAGGGAGUUUACAGGGAGUAAACCUCUUGCAUUAUUUUAGCAAGGAACUGAUGUCUGUGUGUGUAGGGUGAGGGUUACUGCAAGUCCAGACAGAUUGAUUUUUCCGUUGUCUUUUUGAAAAAUUUGCAGGAUGAGACUGUUACGGACACCCCAGAGUGCUUCCCAGGACAGACUCAUUCUCUCCCUGCUCUAUCCACCCUGCCCUAUCCCACCUUUCAGCAGCUUUGUGCACAGUUGCAGGGCCCUGUGUGCAGGGGGCCCUGUGCUUGGAGUAGCUCCUAUAGAAGGAAGAGCCCUGUGCUCUGAGGUUGUGCUCUUAGUGCCUAGGAAUUCUUAGUUGUUUUUUAAAGGGGGCUUCCUGCUUUCAUUUUUUUCUAGACUCUGGUUCUACUCCUGAAAGGAUUCACUAUCAGCACUGGGUCCAGGUGGGAGGAUGUCUGCUUGGAUAUGUGUGUGUGUGUGUGUGUGUGUGUGUGUGUGUGUGUGUGAGUUUGUGUGUAUGUGAGUGAGUGUGUGUGUAUGUGUGAGUGUGUGUAUAAGUGUGUGUGUGAGUGUGUGUGAGUGAGUGUGUGUGUAUGUGUGUGUAUGUGUGUGAGUGUGUGAGUGUGUAUGUGUGAAUGUGUAUGAGUGUGUUUGUGUGAGUGUGUGAGUGUGUGUGUGUGACUUUGUGUGUAUGUGUGUGAGUGUGUGUGAGUGUGUAUGUGAGUCUGUGUGAGUGUGUGUGUGAGUGUGUGUGACUUUGUGUGUAUGUGUGUGAGUGUGUGUGAGUGUGUAUGUGAGUCUGUGUGAGUGUGUGUGUGAGUGUGUGUGUGACUUUGUGUGUAUGUGUGUGAGUGUGUGUGAGUGUGUAUGUGAGUCUGUGUGAGUGUGUGUGUGAGUGUAUGUGUGUAUGAAUGUGUGUGAGUUUUUGUGUAUGUGAGUGAGUGUGUGAGUGUGUGUGUGAGUGUGUAUGUGUGAAUGUGUGUGUGUGACUUUGUGUGUAUGUGUGUGAGUGUGUGAGUGUGUGUGUGUGUGUGUGUGUG